rnacentral:rRNA from 1 species
UGGGGAAUUUUGGACAAUGGGGGCAACCCUGAUCCAGCCAUCCCGCGUGUGCGAUGAAGGCCUUCGGGUUGUAAAGCACUUUUGGCAGGGAAGAAGCAGCCUGGGAUAAUACCCCGGGCGACUGACGGUACCUGCAGAAUAAGCACCGGCUAACUACGUGCCAGCAGCCGCGGUAAUACGUAGGGUGCAAGCGUUAAUCGGAAUUACUGGGCGUAAAGCGUGCGCAGGCGGUUCGGAAAGAAAGGUGUGAAAUCCCAGGGCUUAACCUUGGAACUGCACUUUUAACUACCGAGCUAGAGUACGUCAGAGGGGGGUAGAAUUCCACGUGUAGCAGUGAAAUGCGUAGAGAUGUGGAGGAAUACCGAUGGCGAAGGCAGCCCCCUGGGAUGAUACUGACGCUCAUGCACGAAAGCGUGGGGAGCAAACAGGAUUAGAUACCCUGGUAGUCCACGCCCUAAACGAUGUCAACUAGCUGUUGGGGUUUAUUAACCUUAGUAGCGCAGCUAACGCGUGAAGUUGACCGCCUGGGGAGUACGGUCGCAAGAUUAAAAC